CAAGAAGUAGUUUAAUUAGAAUAUCAGCUUUGGGUGCUGAUGGUGGGAAUAGUCCUCUCUGA
rnacentral:tRNA from 1 species